UAAAUGUUCCCUACAGACACAGGGCAGCAGAUGUUAUCAUAGGGGCAGCUAAAUGUUCCCUACAGACACAGGGCAGCAGAUGUUAUCAUAGGGGCAGCUAAAUGUUCCCUACAGACACAGGGCAGGAGAUGUUAUCAUAGGUGCAGCUAAAUGUUCCCUACAGACACAGGGCAGCAGAUGUUAUCGUAGGUGCAGCUAAAUGUUCCCUACAGACACAGGGCAGGAGAUGUUAUCGUAGGUGCAGCUAAAUGUUCCCUACAGACACAGGGCAGCAGAUGUUAUCAUAGGGGCAGCUAAAUGUUCCCUACAGACACAGGGCAGCAGAUGUUAUCGUAGGUGCAGCUAAAUGUUCCCUACAGACACAGGGCAGCAGAUGUUAUCGUAGGUGCAGCUAAAUGUUCCCUACAGACACAGGGCAGCAGAUGUUAUCAUAGGUGCAGCUAAAUGUUCCCUACAGACACAGGGCAGCAGAUGUUAUCGUAGGUGCAGCUAAAUGUUCCCUACAGACACAGGGCAGCAGAUGUUAUCGUAGGUGCAGCUAAAUGUUCCCUACAGACACAGGGCAGCAGAUGUUAUCGUAGGUGCAGCUAAAUGUUCCCUACAGACACAGGGCAGCAGAUGUUAUCGUAGGUGCAGCUAAAUGUUCCCUACAGACACAGGGCAGGAGAUGUUAUCGUAGGGGCAGCUAAAUGUUCCCUACAGACACAGGGCAGCAGAUGUUAUCGUAGGUGCAGCUAAAUGUUCCCUACAGACACAGGGCAGGAGAUGUUAUCGUAGGUGCAGCUAAAUGUUCCCUACAGACACAGGGCAGCAGAUGUUAUCGUAGGUGCAGCUAAAUGUUCCCUACAGACACAGGGCAGCAGAUGUUAUCAUAGGUGCAGCUAAAUGUUCCCUACAGACACAGGGCAGCAGAUGUUAUCGUAGGUGCAGCUAAAUGUUCCCUACAGACACAGGGCAGCAGAUGUUAUCGUAGGUGCAGCUAAAUGUUCCCUACAGACACAGGGCAGCAGAUGUUAUCGUAGGUGCAGCUAAAUGUUCCCUACAGACACAGGGCAGCAGAUGUUAUCGUAGGUGCAGCUAAAUGUUCCCUACAGACACAGGGCAGCAGAUGUUAUCGUAGGUGCAGCUAAAUGUUCCCUACAGACACAGGGCAGCAGAUGUUAUCGUAGGUGCAGCUAAAUGUUCCCUACAGACACAGGGCAGCAGAUGUUAUCGUAGGUGCAGCUAAAUGUUCCCUACAGACACAGGGCAGCAGAUGUUAUCGUAGGUGCAGCUAAAUGUUCCCUACAGACACAGGGCAGCAGAUGUUAUCGUAGGUGCAGCUAAAUGUUCCCUACAGACACAGGGCAGCAGAUGUUAUCGUAGGUGCAGCUAAAUGUUCCCUACAGACACAGGGCAGCAGAUGUUAUCGUAGGUGCAGCUAAAUGUUCCCUACAGACACAGGGCAGCAG